rnacentral:lncRNA from 1 species
UAGACAUGUUUUGUUGUAUUUUCAAAGGAAAAAUUGCUUUAAGUUCCUUAGAGUGAGUUAAAACAACACUUGAAAAAUUGGAGAGAAGUACCACGUUGCUGAAUGGGAAGGUUUCUCCUUGAACAAAGGCACUGAGGAAAGGCCUUGUGAACACGUAACAAGAAGGUGGCCGUCUGCAAACCAGGAAGAGAGGCCUCACCUGAAACCAAAUCAACCAGAAUCUUCAUGUUAGACUUCUAGCCUCCAGAUCCGUGAGAAGUAAAUGUCUGUUGUCUAAGCCUCACAGUUGAUGAUAUUUUGCUAUGGCAGUCCAAACAGACUAAUGGAAGCAGAUUAAAA